UACGUAGGGGGGCUAGCGUUGUCCGGAAUCAUUGGGCGUAAAGCGCGUGUAGGCGGUCCGGUAAGUCCGCUGUGAAAGUCGGGGGGCUCAACCCUCGGAUGCCGGUGGAUACUGUCGGGCUUGAGUACGGAAGAGGCGAGUGGAAUUCCUGGUGUAGCGGUGGAAUGCGCAGAUAUCAGGAGGAACACCCAUAGCGAAGGCAGCUUGCUGGGACGUUUACUGACGCUAAGGCGCGAAAGCGUGGGGAGCAAACAGG
rnacentral:rRNA from 1 species